UACGUAGGGGGCGAGCGUUGUCCGGAAUUACUGGGCGUAAAGGGUGCGUAGGUGGUUUCUUAAGUCAGAGGUGAAAGGCUACGGCUCAACCGUAGUAAGCCUUUGAAACUGGGAAACUUGAGUGCAGGAGAGGAGAGUGGAAUUCCUAGUGUAGCGGUGAAAUGCGUAGAUAUUAGGAGGAACACCAGUAGCGAAGGCGGCUCUCUGGACUGUAACUGACGCUGAGGCACGAAAGCGUGGGUAGCAAACAGGAUUAGAUACCCUGGUAGUCCCUGAG
rnacentral:rRNA from 1 species